UGAGGGUUUUGUUCCAAAUUCCGCCAUCUACUUCCUGAGGGAGGCCGCUGCUCCCCUUUCCUAAGAGGGAAAAUGACCUUUGUGCACCAACCGGUGGCCUGCACACUCUGAGUGCUCCAUAUACUUGGUGGUGGGAUGCCAAGGAUCCAGCCCAGGGUGGAAAUCUCCACCAGCACUGGAGUGCACCUUCUGUUCCAGCCACCGCUCCAGCUGCUAGGUGCAUGGACUGAUUUCACCCCACAACAGUCCUGUGAGGCAGGUUGCAUGGAGCUAAGAGACACUGCCUUUUAUACAACAUCUUCCGCUGGGAAUCGGCCCGGCCCAGCACAAAAUUAGCUGGCGUCUUACGGCUCCUGGAUUAUGCAGGCAGAGAUUUUGAUUGAAUCUGGCAACCAGA